CGCAGGUUUCUUUUGGCACAUAAUGAUAGAGAAAGGGGGAAAAUUAGAAAAAUCUCCAAAGAAUAAAAAUAGAGGCAAACAAAUUGCAUAUGCAUUCAGAGGAGGAACCAAGGAUUGCAUUCCAAAGUGAUCUGACAGUAAGAAUUAGAGGAACUGAAGAAUGUAAAAGUAGUAAAUGCCUAGUUUCUAUUUAAAGAUUGUCAUCUUAAGAAAGACAACAAUUGUUUAUAUGACUUUUAAAAAAUAUUCAUUAAAAUAAUGGAAAAAAGAAAAACACUAAUUUACACAUAGAUCAAAUGAGUGCUGUGAUACAUUUUUGUCUCUAAUUCUGCUUGAAUAUUUAAACGGAAUCUCUCUAUUGUUAUUGAUUAUAGCUUUCUGCACCCCCCACACAUCCUCUUUUAAAAGCCUUGUCAGUCUGAUAAGAACUAGAAUGUUGUGUACUUUUCUAAUUCACUUGGCAUUUAUUCAAACCCCACAGCCCUAGGACUUUGAGGAUAUUGAAUUUGAGUCAUUCAAAGGGCAAAAGCACAUGUUUAAAGAGGUUAGUUGUGGCCUCAUAUACUUACUGGAUACAGUGCUUCUGUUCCUGAACAAUGGAAAAAUUUGACUGUUUCUGCUUAGAAGUUCAUGGACUUGGAAGGCUCCAGACAAUCGAUAUUGGAAAGCACAAUCAUUCAUUCCCAGUUUACAACUCGAUACUGCCACCUUCACCAGGUCACUUAACCACACCAAGCCUCAGUUUUGCAUCUGUCUUAUAGUAAUACUUACUUCCUGGAGUUGGCGUGAGAAGCAAAUGGGAUAAAACAAUCUUUCCAGGAAUCAUAAUAGCGCACAUAGUUCCUUUCAACUAUGCAAGCAUAUCUCUAUUACUAAAUCAUAGACAUUGGCACAAUAUAAAAUGUAAUUCUAGCAGUCAGAGGUUUCCAAGAUAGAAUUGAGUGACACUGGGCAGUUGUGGUUGCUGCCACUGCAGGGUUUUAAGCUUAUGAUCAUUUGGAUGGAAUGUUGCAGAAAAGAUCCAGGCAUCAGAUGAGUGGUUGGACCAAUCUACUUUCAAGAUCUCUUUUUUAAUUCUAUAAUGUUGGCCCGUUAUUCAAGUCUCAUACUGUCUUCUUGGAUGAAGAUUUUAUUUCAUCUUCUUCCCUUGAAUGAAUAAAAUAUGAAAACAAGAGCA
rnacentral:lncRNA from 12 species